rnacentral:rRNA from 1 species
GACGAACGCUGGCGGCGUGCUUAACACAUGCAAGUCGAACGAAGUGGCGAACGGGUGAGUAACGCGUAAUCAACCUGCCCUUCAGAGGGGGACACCAGUUGGAAACGACUGCAAAUACCGCAUACUGACGGAGGGGAUUGUGUGUGAUUAGCUAGUUGGGGGGGUAACGGCCUACCAAGGCGAUGAUCAGUAGCCGGUCUGAGAGGAUUAACGGCCACAUUGGGACUGAGACACGGGCCAGACGCCUACGGGAGGCAGCAGUGGGGAAUAUUGGACAAUGGGCGAAAGCCUGAUCCAGCCAUGCCGCGUGUGUGAAGAAGGUUUUCGGAUUGUAAAGCUCUGUUAGUUGGGAGCGGUACCAACAGAAUAAGCACCGGCUAACUUCGUGCCAGCAGCCGCGGUAAUUC